rnacentral:rRNA from 1 species
UGUGCCUACGGGGGGCAGCAGUGGGGAAUAUUGGGCAAUGGGCGCAAGCCUGACCCAGCAACGCCGCGUGAAGGAAGAAGGCUUUCGGGUUGUAAACUUCUUUUCUAAGGGACGAAGAAAGCGACGGUACCUUAGGAAUAAGCUCCGGCUAACUACGUGCCAGCAGCCGCGGUAAUACGUAGGGAGCGAGCGUUAUCCGGAUUUACUGGGUGUAAAGGGCGUGUAGGCGGGAUGGCAAGUCAGGCGUGAAAACUAUGUGCUCAACCCACAGCCUGCGUUUGCAACUUUCGUUCUUGAGUGAAGGG